rnacentral:tRNA from 1 species
GGUGCUAUAGUGUAGUGGUUAUCACUCGGGAUUUUGACCACAAUAUUCCCGAAACCCAGGUUCGAGCCCUGGUAGCACCU